GUCAGCACCCCGCACUGAAGUGACGGGGCUUCAUGCCUCUAACUUUAGUUAGUUGACCAGCCUAAGUCUUAACUGACUAUGUUUUUUGAGUCAAGACACCCUGCUGGAUGCGUAGCUAGUCCCUGGCUCUGUCGUUAGUAGUUAAACAGUUUUACGAGGGGUAAGACAGUGCUACUAGCCUAACAAGCUCUUAAAACCUUGGCGAAGCUAACUUUAC
rfam:Planktothrix serta PCC 8927 isolate BBR_PRJEB10992 genome assembly, scaffold: BBR_A_PL8927_scaffold5